CACCGGCGGCCCGAGUGGUGAUCGUGAUUAUUGGGUCUAAAGGGUCCGUAGCCGGUUUGGUCAGUCCUCCGGGAAAUCUGAUAGCUCAACUAUUAGGCUUUCGGGGGAUACUGCCAGGCUUGGAACCGGGAGAGGUAAGAGGUACUACAGGGGUAGGAGUGAAAUCUUGUAAUCCCUGUGGGACCACCUGUGGCGAAGGCGUCUUACCAGAACGGGUUCGACGGUGAGGGACGAAAGCUGGGGGCACGAACCGGAUUAGAUACCCGGGUAGUCCCAGCCGUAAACGAUGCUCGCUAGGUGUCAGGCAUGGCGCGACCGUGUCUGGUGCCGCAGGGAAGCCGUGAAGCGAGCCACCUGGGAAGUACGGCCGCAAGGUUGAAACUUAAAGGAAUUGGCGGGGGAGCACAACAACGGGUGGAGCCUGCGGUUUAAUUGGACUCAACGCCGGACAACUCACCGGGGGCGACAGCAAUAUGUAGGCCAAGCUGAAGACUUUGCCUGAAUCGCUGAGAGGAGGUGCAUGGCCGUCGCCAGUUCGUACUGUGAAGCAUCCUGUUAAGUCAGGCAACGAGCGAGACCCGUGCCCACUGUUACCAGCAUGUCCUCCGGGACGAUGGGUACUCUGUGGGGACCGCCGGCGUUAAAUCGGAGGAAGGUGCGGGCCACGGUAGGUCAGUAUGCCCCGAAUCUCCCGGGCUACACGCGGGCUACAAUGGAUGGGACAAUGGGUCCCUACCCCGAAAGGGGUUGGUAAUCUCACAAACCCAUUCGUAGUUCGGAUCGAGGGCUGUAACUCGCCCUCGUGAAGCUGGAAUCCGUAGUAAUCGCGUUUCAAUAUAGCGCGGUGAAUACGUCCCUGCUCCU
rnacentral:rRNA from 1 species